rnacentral:rRNA from 1 species
AAAAAAGGUAAGCUACUAAGAGCGAAUGGUGGAUGCCUUGACUGGUAAAGGCGAUGAAGGACGUACUAGACUGCGAUAAGCUACGGGGAGCUGUCAAGAAGCUUUGAUCCGUAGAUUUCCGAAUGGGGCAACCCAAUGUAUAGAGAUAUACAUUACCUAUAUAGGAGCAAACGAGGGGAAUUGAAACAUCUUAGUACCCUCAGGAAAAGAAAUCAAUAGAGAUUGCGUCAGUAGCGGCGAGCGAAAGCGCAAGAGGGCAAACCCAGUGCUUGCACUGGGGGUUGUAGGACUGCAAUGUGCAAGAGGUGAGUUUAGCAGAACAUUCUGGAAAGUAUAGCCAUAGAGGGUGAUAGUCCCGUAUGCGAAAAACAAACCUUAGCUAGCAGUAUCCUGAGUAGGGCGGGACACGAGAAAUCCUGUCUGAAGCUGGGUCGACCACGAUCCAACCCUAAAUACUAAUACCAGAUCGAUAGUGCACAAGUACCGUGAGGGAAAGGUGAAAAGAACUGAGGUGAUCAGAGUGAAAUAGAACCUGAAACCAUUUGCUUACAAUCAUUCAGAGCCCUAUGUAGCAAUACAGGGUGAUGGACUGCCUUUUGCAUAAUGAGCCUGCGAGUUGUGGUGUCUGGCAAGGUUAAGCAAACGCGAAGCCGUAGCGAAAGCGAGUCUGAAUAGGGCGCUUAGUCAGAUGCUGCAGACCCGAAACGAAGUGAUCUAUCCAUGAGCAAGUUGAAGCUAGUGUAAGAACUAGUGGAGGACUGAACCCAUAGGCGUUGAAAAGCCCCGGGAUGACUUGUGGAUAGGGGUGAAAGGCCAAUCAAACUUCGUGAUAGCUGGUUCUCUCCGAAAUAUAUUUAGGUAUAGCGUUGUGUCGUAAUAUAAGGGGGUAGAGCACUGAAUGGGCUAGGGCAUACACCAAUGUACCAAACCCUAUCAAACUCCGAAUACCUUAUAUGUAAUCACAGCAGUCAGGCGGCGAGUGAUAAAAUCCGUCGUCAAGAGGGAAACAACCCAGACUACCAGCUAAGGUCCCUAAAUCUUACUUAAGUGGAAAACGAUGUGAAGUUACUUAAACAACCAGGAGGUUGGCUUAGAAGCAGCCAUCCUUUAAAGAAAGCGUAAUAGCUCACUGGUCUAGUGAUUUUGCGCGGAAAAUAUAACGGGGCUAAAGUAAGUACCGAAGCUGUAGACUUGCGCACAACUUAGAUUAUUUAAGUUUAGAAUAUGAGAAACUAAGUUAUAUGUUUAGUUAUAUUUUUACUGAUUUUUAUAGAGUAAAGAUAGAAAUAAAACUUAGUAAAAUCAGUAAAAAUAUUCUUAGACUAAAGUUAAGUAGUUUAAGUUGUGUGCAAGUGGUAGGAGAGCGUUCUAUUUGCGUCGAAGGUAUACCGGUAAGGAGUGCUGGAGCGAAUAGAAGUGAGCAUGCAGGCAUGAGUAGCGAUAAUUAAUGUGAGAAUCAUUAACGCCGUAAACCCAAGGUUUCCUACGCGAUGCUCGUCAUCGUAGGGUUAGUCGGGUCCUAAGUCGAGUCCGAAAGGGGUAGACGAUGGCAAAUUGGUUAAUAUUCCAAUACCAACAUUAGUGUGCGAUGGAAGGACGCUUAGGGCUAAGGGGGCUAGCGGAUGGAAGUGCUAGUCUAAGGUCGUAGGAGGUUAUACAGGCAAAUCCGUAUAACAAUACUCCGAGAACUGAAAGGCUUUUUGAAGUCUUCGGAUGGAUAGAAGAACCCCUGAUGCCGUCGAGCCAAGAAAAGUUUCUAAGUUUAGCUAAUGUUGCCCGUACCGUAAACCGACACAGGUGGGUGGGAUGAGUAUUCUAAGGCGCGUGGAAGAACUCUCUUUAAGGAACUCUGCAAAAUAGCACCGUA